AGGGUUUGAUCAUGGCUCAGAAUGAACGCUGGCGGCAUGCCUAACACAUGCAAGUCGAACGAGAUCUUCGGAUCUAGUGGCGCACGGGUGAGUAACGCGUGGGAACCUACCUUUUAGUACGGGACAACGUUUGGAAACGAACGCUAAUACCGUAUACGCCCUCCGGGGGAAAGGUCUGCCGCUAAAAGAGGGGCCCGCGUCUGAUUAGCUUGUUGGUAGGGUAAUGGCCUACCAAGGCAAUGAUCAGUAGCUGGUCUGAGAGGAUGAUCAGCCACACUGGGACUGAGACACGGCCCAGACUCCUACGGGAGGCAGCAGUGGGGAAUAUUGGACAAUGGAGGCAACUCUGAUCCAGCAAUGCCGCGUGUGUGAUGAAGGCCUUAGGGUUGUAAAGCACUUUCAACGGUGAAGAUGAUGACGGUAGCCGUAGAAGAAGCCCCGGCUAACUUCGUGCCAGCAGCCGCGGUAAUUC
rnacentral:rRNA from 1 species